AUCUACGGCCAUGUCACCCUGAACGUGCCUGAUCUCGUCUGAUCUCGGAAGCUAAGCAGGGUCAGGCCUGGUUAGUACUUGAAUGGGAGACCACCUAGGAUAGACCAGGUGCUGUAGGCG
rfam:Pteropus alecto contig91265, whole genome shotgun sequence.